rnacentral:rRNA from 1 species
GACGAACGCUGGCGGCGUGCUUAACACAUGCAAGUCGAACGAGAGGCGAACGGGUGAGUAAUACGUGGGUAACCUGCCCUCUUUUUGGGAUAAGCCUUGGAAACGGGGUCUAAUACCGAAUAAGGGGGAUGGGCUCGCGGCCUAUCAGCUUGUUGGUGGGGUGAAGGCCUACCAAGGCGGUGACGGGUAGCCGGCCUGAGAGGGUGACCGGCCACAUUGGGACUGAGGUACGGCCCAGACGGCUACGGGAGGGAGCAGUGGGGGAUGUGGCACAAUGGGCGAAAGCCUGAUGCAGCGACGCCGCGUGGGGGAUGAGGGCUUUAGGGUUGUAAACCGCUUUCGCAAGCGAACGGGUAGGUGGAGAAGAAGCGCCGGCUAACUACGUGCCAGCAGCCGCGGUAAUAC